AUCCAGCUGAUGAGUCCCAAACAGAACGACACAUGCGUCCUGGAU
rnacentral:hammerhead_ribozyme from 1 species